GACGAACGCUGGCGGCGUGCUUAACACAUGCCAGUCGAACGGAAAGGCCCUGCGUUUGUGGGGUUCUCGAGUGGCGAACGGGUGAGUAACACGUGAGUAACCUGCCCUUGACUUUGGGAUAGCUUCAGGAAACUGGGGCUAAUACCGUAUAGGAUCUCCUGCUGCAUGGUGGGGGUUGGAAAGUUUCGGCGGUUGGGGAUGGACUCGCGGCUUAUCAGCUUGUUGGUGGGGUAGUGGCUUACCAAGGCUUUGACGGAUAGCCGGCCUGAGAGGGUGACCGGCCACAGUGGGACUGCGAUACGGACCAGACUCGUACGGGAGGCAGCAGUGGGGAAUAUUGCACAAUGGGCGGAAGUCUGAUGCAGCAACGCCGCGUGCGGGAUGACGGCCUUCGGGUUGUAAACCGCUUUCGCCUGUGACGAAGCGUGAGUGACGGUAAUGGGUAAAGAAGCACCGGCUAACUACGUG
rnacentral:rRNA from 1 species